AAGGCUGUUAGGGUUUAUCGUUUGGAUUUCUGACUUUUGGGGGUGUGACUUUUCCCCUGUAUUUCUUUGGGCUCUGAUUUCAGAUGGCUGGUGACCAGAUGACAAGAAUCUAAUGUUUUGCUUGUGGAUAUUCUUGAACCUUGUGCCUGCUCCUGGCUCCUUUACCAGUGGGAAGUUUGGGAGGCAGAAAAGGGAAGAGAAAUGCAGACCAGUUUGCACUGGGGCAUCUGUGGUCAUCUUGUGCAACCGAGAGCACCAAGCCUGCAGUGGGCAAGUGGCCGCCCCAGCCCCCUCGCGCCUGCGGUCGGGAGGCUUGUGGCGUCCACUGCCACCACCACCACCACCGCCGCCACCACCACCGAGGACACACACACACCCUGGCGCAUGCAGCUCCUGGGAGAAGUUGUGUUUCUCUUGGCCUGGCCCCAAGCCCUCGUUUGCACCGGUCAGCUCCACUUUAAGGAGCCUUGGACCAGUGGAUGCUCAGAGCGAGCAUGCACACCCAGGCGCACACACCAAAUGCAGCUUUUUGUGUUUGUGUGUGUGGCUUUUUUUUUCCCCUUCCCUGUUGGCUCCGAGUGAGCUAGAACAAUAUCGCCAGCUCCAAGCCCUGCCAGUCCUACAUCUGCUCCCUAAAACCUCCAGCAAAUAAGAAUACGGUGGGGUUGUUUAACCAACACUUACAAUAUACACACUUUUCAGCUCCUCUCCCCCUGGGUGGCCCAGGCUCAGAGAUCUGGAUGCUGGUGGCAAAGGGUUGAGAGAUAAGGGGCUAAUGAUCCCUGUGGGCAUCUGUCUCUGAAGCCUCCUUCUCUGGCACGUUGAUCUGUGGCAUAAAAUACAUUUCAUUGUCAUGGGCUUCGGGGAAGGUGUCUGUACC
rnacentral:lncRNA from 1 species